UCUGCCGUGGGCGCUGGAGAAUUGAGGGGGGCUGCUCCUAGUACGAGAGGACCGGAGUGGACGCAUCACUGGUGUUCGGGUUGUCAUGCCAAUGGCAUUGCCCGGUAGCUAAAUGCGGAAAAGAUAAGUGCUGAAAGCAUCUAAGCACGAAACUUGCCCCAAGAUGAGUUCUCCCUGAGACUUAGAGUCUCCUGAAGGAACGUUGAAGACGACGACGUUGAUAGGCCGGGUGUGUAAGCGCAGCGAUGCGUUGAGCUAACCGGUACUAAUGAACCGUGAGGCUUAACCUU
rnacentral:rRNA from 1 species